GGGGGAUUUGGCUAGAAGGCUGGGCCGGCAGCGGUUGUGAGGAGUUAGCUCGCGGCAUUGCAGGCUCUGAGAGGAGGGGACCCGGUUCCCGGGUGAGUGUCCAGGCAUGCCAGCGGAACGGCCCGCGGGCAGCGGCGCUCGGAGGCUCCAGCAAUGGUUGAACAACUGGACACUGCUGUGAUUACCCCGGCCAUGCUAGAAGAGGAAGAACAGCUUGAAGCUGCUGGACUAGAGAGAGAGCGGAAGAUGCUGGAAAAGCUCGCAUGUCUUGGGAUAGAGAGUCGACAGAAAUUCGGUACCGUAGACUUCAACAUUUGCUUGAAAAAAGCAAUAUAUACUCCAAAUUUUUAUUGACGAAAAUGGAACAGCAACAAUUAGAGGUAUGUAUAUGUAACUG
rnacentral:lncRNA from 1 species